rnacentral:rRNA from 1 species
GACGAACGCUGGCGGCGUGCCUAAUACAUGCAAGUAGAACGCUGAAGGGAGGAGCUUGCUCUUCUUGGAUGAGUUGCGAACGGGUGAGUAACGCGUAGGUAACCUGCCUGGUAGCGGGGGAUAACUAUUGGAAACGAUAGCUAAUACCGCAUAAAAUUGAUUAUUGCAUGAUAAUUAAUUGAAAGAUGCAACUGCAUCACUACCAGAUGGACCUGCGUUGUAUUAGCUAGUUGGUGAGGUAACGGCUCACCAAGGCGACGAUACAUAGCCGACCUGAGAGGGUGAUCGGCCACACUGGGACUGAGACACGGCCCAGACUCCUACGGGAGGCAGCAGUAGGGAAUCUUCGGCAAUGGGGGGAACCCUGACCGAGCAACGCCGCGUGAGUGAAGAAGGUUUUCGGAUCGUAAAGCUCUGUUGUAAGAGAAGAACGGGUGUGAGAGUGGAAAGUUCACACUGUGACGGUAUCUUACCAGAAAGGGACGGCUAACUACGUG